AACGAACGCUGGCGGCAUGCCUAACACAUGCAAGUCGAACGAGACCUUCGGGUCUAUUGGCGCACGGGUGCGUAACGCGUGGGAACCUGCCCUUAGGUUCGGAAUAACUCCCCGAAAGGGGUGCUAAUACCGGAUAAUGUCUUCGGACCAAAGAUUUAUCGCCUUUGGAUGGGCCCGCGUUGGAUUAGCUAGUUGGUAGGGUAAAAGCCUACCAAGGCGACGAUCCAUAGCUGGUCUGAGAGGAUGAUCAGCCACACUGGGACUGAGACACGGCCCAGAAUCCUACGGGAGGCAGCAGUGGGGAAUAUUGGACAAUGGGCGAAAGCCUGAUCCAGCAAUGCCGCGUGAGUGAUGAAGGCCUUAGGGUUGUAAAGCUCUUUUACCCGGGAUGAUAAUGACAGUACCGGGAGAAUAAGCUCCGGCUAACUACGUG
rnacentral:rRNA from 1 species